CCCAGACUCCUACGGGAGGCAGCAGUGGGGGAUAUUGCACAAUGGGGGAAACCCUGAUGCAGCAACGCCGCGUGAGUGAAGAAGUAUUUCGGUAUGUAAAGCUCUAUCAGCAGGGAAGAGAAUGACGGUACCUGACUAAGAAGCCCCGGCUAACUACGUGCCAGCAGCCGCGGUAAUACGUAGGGGGCGAGCGUUAUCCGGAUUUACUGGGUGUAAAGGGAGCGUAGACGGCUGGUCAAGUCUGAAGUGAAAGCCCGGGGCUUAACCCCGGAACGGCUUUGGAAACUGAGCAGCUAGAGUGCUGGAGAGGUAAGCGGAAUUCCUAGUGUAGCGGCGAAAUGCGUAGAUAUUAGGAGGAACACCAGUGGCGAAGGCGGCUUACUGGACAGUAACUGACGUUGAGGCUCGAAAGCGUGGGGAGCAAACAGGAUUAGAUACCCGCGUA
rnacentral:rRNA from 1 species